rnacentral:rRNA from 1 species
UUGCCCCAGUAACGGCGAGUGAAGCGGCAACAGCUCAAAUUUGAAAUCUGGCCCCCCGGCCCGAGUUGUAAUUUGGAGAGGAUGCUUCUGGCGCGGCGCCGUCCGAGUUCCUUGGAACAGGACGCCACAGAGGGUGAGAGCCCCGUACGGACGGACGCCUAGCCUCUACGAAGCUCCUUCGACGAGUCGAGUAGUUUGGGAAUGCUGCUCAAAAUGGGAGGUAAAUUUCUUCUAAAGCUAAAUACCGGCCAGAGACCGAUAGCGCACAAGUAGAGUGAUCGAAAGAUGAAAAGCACUUUGAAAAGAGGGUUAAAAAGUACGUGAAAUUGUUGAAAGGGAAGCGCCUGUGACCAGACUUGCGCCCCGCGGACCACCCGGCGUUCUCGCCGGUGCACUCUGCGGUGCGCAGGCCAGCAUCGGUUCUCCCAGGGGGACAAAGGCCGCGGGAACGUAGCUCCUUCGGGAGUGUUAUAGCCCGCGGCGGCAUGCCCCUGGGGGGACCGAGGACCGCGCUUCG